GACGAACGCUGGCGGCGUGCUUAACACAUGCAAGUCGAACGCUGAAGCUUGGUGCUUGCACUGGGUGGAUGAGUGGCGAACGGGUGAGUAAUACGUGAGUAACCUGCCCUUGACUCUGGGAUAAGCCUGGGAAACUGGGUCUAAUACUGGAUACGACAUGCCACUGCAUGGUGGUGUGUGGAAAGGGUUUUACUGGUUUUGGAUGGGCUCACGGCCUAUCAGCUUGUUGGUGGGGUAAUGGCCUACCAAGGCGACGACGGGUAGCCGGCCUGAGAGGGUGACCGGCCACACUGGGACUGAGACACGGACCAGACUCCUACGGGAGGCAGCAGUGGGGAAUAUUGCACAAUGGGCGGAAGCCUGAUGAAGAGACGCCGCGUGAGGGAUGACGGCCUUCGGGUUGUAAACCUCUUUCAGCACGGAAGAAGCGAGAGUGACGGUACGUGCAGAAGAAGCGCCGGCUAACUACGUG
rnacentral:rRNA from 1 species